GACGAACCGUGCGAACGUUGUUCGGAAUCACUGGGCUUAAAGAGUCCGUAGGCGGCUUGUUAGGUGAGGUGUGAAAUCCCUCGGCCCAACCGAGGAAUUGCGCUUCAAACCGGCAAGCUAGAGGAGGAUAGAGGUGGGCGGAACUGAUGGUGGAGCGGUGAAAUGCGUUGAUAUCAUCAGGAACACCGGAGGCGAAGGCGGUCCACUGGGUCCUUUCUGACGCUGAGGGACGAAAGCUAGGGGAGCGAACGGG
rnacentral:rRNA from 1 species